rnacentral:lncRNA from 1 species
ACUGAGUUUCGUUCCCAGCCUGGUCCGAAACAACUACGAAGGUGAUUGAACAAAGAAACAUUCUUACGAGAGACACAAAUUCCCUUUGAGUGGGUACAAUUUUUAAAGAGUAAUGAUAUAUAGACAUCCUUUAAAUGUAACAUCCACUUGUUAAUAGCCGCAGUUAUACUUAUAUAAGUCUUUGACAUUUAAUCUUGUCAUCACAUAGGUAUAAGUAAGGCUAAUUUGUCUUUUUGGUCCCUUAACUAUUUAAUUAAUAUUGGUUUGGUCCCCUAAUUAAAAAUUGAUUUAUUUUGGUCCCUUAAAUUUCUCUUUGUUACAUAUUUUGGUGCUUUCCGUUAGUUUAAUUUAAAAAAAAAAAAACGUUAGGAUUUAUGCAAUCAUCAGCUUCAUUCAACUUCUUCAUCAUCUUCCUCAUCCACCUUCAUCAACCCUCAUACAAAAAAAACCCAGCAAAACAAAUAGUUUUUCAGCAUGUUCAUAAUUAUAAUUUUUUUUUUUUUUUUUUAUCAUUUCUUUUUAUUCUUCCCUUCUCAAUUGAUUCACUUCAACUCAAAUCCCUAACCCCUCUUUUAUUCUUCCAUUCCCAAAUUCAUCAACAGUCACCGUGUCUUUCCCAUUCAAAAUUACUUAUGCUGAAAAAAUCAUUGCUUUCGCCUCUCACCUUAUAAUGGCUUAUAAUUGACUCUUCUAAUUUCUUUAACAAUUUCUUUGCUUUUCUUCUGCAAGGAGUAAAUUUCCAGGAAAAAUUAGAAAAUAAAGAAUUCAAAAUUCUAUCUCUUUCCAAAUUCACCAAAGAAAUCCAUGAACAUCUAACAACCUGGCUUUAGAUCCGCACAAUCACCGUCUUUUUCCUCUCGCCGUCACCAUCGAUACGCUGGCCACCGUGACUACCUCCCUCGUCACUGUACCGCUACGAAAACCCAACACAAUCAUCACUUUCUCAACCCCACUUCUAAACGAAGGCUGCAACAACAACCAACAACAAUAAACGAAGAAGAAGAACCCACAACAACAACAAAUCUAUGUCAAUAAAAUCUGAUGUUAUUCUUUGUACUAAAUUGAUCAAGUUUUUUUUUUUUUUAAUUUGAUUAAGGGGUUAUUCUUUGUACUAAAUGAAAUAUGAUGUUAUUCUUUCUACGCCAAUAACAAAUCUACCUUUGCCGUUUUCAAAUAGCUCUUAGCCAAAGCUACCUCACAUAUACACAUA